rnacentral:pre_miRNA from 1 species
GAAAACUUAGAAACUACCGUUGGAUUGAGAAAUGGACGUUCGAGAUUUAUCCACGUCACCCUGAGAUAAAAUUUAACUCGCAGAUUCACUCAUGAGUUAAAAAUUUACUAGGAGUGAAAUUUUAACUCAUGGUGAUGUGGACGAAUCUCGGACGUUUAUUUCUCGAUUCAACGAUAGUUUUCAAGUUUAC